rnacentral:rRNA from 1 species
CGUGUAGGCGGUGUUCUAAGUUGGACGUAAAAUCUCCCGGCCCAACUGGGAGGAGUCGUCCAAUACUGGAUCACUUGAGGGCAGAAGAGGGAAGUGGAAUUCCCGGUGUAGCGGUGGAAUGCGUAGAUAUCGGGAGGAACACCAGUGGCGAAGGCGGCUUCCUGGUCUGCUCCUGACGCUGAGACGCGAAAGCUAGGGGAGCGAACG